GAUGAACGCUGGCGGUAUGCUUAACACAUGCAAGUCGAACGGACUCUUCGGAGUUAGUGGCGGACGGGUGAGUAACGCGUGAGAAUCUGGCUUUGGGUUCGGGACAACCACUGGAAACGGUGGCUAAUACCGGAUGUGCCGAGAGGUAAAAGAGAAAUUGCCUGAAGAUGAGCUCGCGUCUGAUUAGCUAGUUGGUGAGGUAAAGGCUCACCAAGGCAGCGAUCAGUAGCUGGUCUGAGAGGAUGACCAGCCACACUGGGACUGAGACACGGCCCAGACUCCUACGGGAGGCAGCAGUGGGGAAUUUUCCGCAAUGGGCGAAAGCCUGACGGAGCAAUACCGCGUGAGGGAAGAAGGCUCUUGGGUUGUAAACCUCUUUUCUUAGGGGAGAACAAAAUGACGGUACCUAAGGAAUCAGCAUCGGCUAACUCCGUG
rnacentral:rRNA from 1 species